GACGAAGGUGGCUAGCGUUGUUCGGUGUCACUGGGCUUAAAGCGUGUGUAGGCGGAAAUGUAAGCGUCUUGUGAAAUCCCUCAGCUUAACUGAGGAAUUGCUUGGCGAACUACAUUUCUUGAGGCAAGUAGGGGUACAUGGAACUCUUGGUGGAGCGGUGGAAUGCGUAGAUAUCAAGAGGAACGCCGAUGGAGAAAUCAGUGUACUGGGCUUGUCCUGACGCUGAGACACGAAAGCGUGGGGAGCGAACGGGAUUAGAUACCCGCGUA
rnacentral:rRNA from 1 species